rnacentral:lncRNA from 1 species
UUUCUGAUGAGAUGAAUAUACCCUUUAGGAAAAUAAAUCGCACCAAUAUCAUGACGGACACACAAGUAACUUGGCAGGUUUAAAAUGAAGGAAAUGCAUAAUGUGAUGCAACUAUUAGUACAUAUUCCAUUUGAAGCAACCUUAUGUCAGUUAACUCACAAAAAAGGGGGAAAAUAACAUAUUGAAAAUGCUAAAUACUCGAAUUUCCAUGAUAGCCAUAGUGACUCACUUCCUGUGUAAUGAUACUUCAGAGGUGUUCUUUAGAAAGAAAAUGAUUAGGUGCAGACCUGAAAUACAGAUACAAAAUAGUCAAGUUACCUGUCAUCAUGGUUAUUGAAUCACGUAAUGAAAAGCAUGGAAGAAAGAUAAGAAAAGUGCUUCCAUUAUGUAUUGGAAUACGAAAUAGUUGUUCUGACUAAGCUUUUUAAGUGUAAGAAUGAACAGCAUAUCUUGCAAACUCUAUACACAACAUGCCUGCCAUAUUUGGCAGCUGAACUUAAGCUCCUCAUCCAUCCAUUUUAGAGCCCCAUUCUUAAAAUAAAACAGGGUUAUUGUUCAUGCAUAAAAAUCCUAUCAUUCUACAAAGGGGGAGCUUAAGUCAGAGGUGGGAAGUUAUUCUAAAUUUUCUGAAACCCAAAGACAGAUUUCAAACAAACUUCUUCCAAUCUAGAAAUCUAGAAAGCCUGACCAGUCCGAAAAGAGAUACUGUAAUUAAAAGAAAAACAUAUAUGUAUCAGUACAAAGGGAGUUCUGUUUACGACAACGCAUGAACAUAUAGUGCUACAUCCCUGUAAUAGCAUCUAUGACAACCAUCUAGAGAUUUGAACAAUAAAAAUGAAUGAUAAAGGGAUCUACAUGAAGCAAUACAAUGGUGUAGGAUCAUGGAGAAAAGUAAAAUAUCUGCGAUCUUCAAUCUUGCAGGCACACAUAGUGUUGGCCUUGUUUCCUGCGGAUCGUCGUUCUGUUAGGAACAUUUGGCUUCAGGCCUUUGGCUCUUCACCUCAAACCAUUUUCUUUAGUAAAUAAUAUGCAAAUAAACCCACAUCGAACCCAUGAGUUGGCGCGG